CAACGAGCUCCACGUUUAGAAGAAGACUAUUUCGAAAGACGAUCUAGACAUUUCCUGUUUCGUUCUCAUUACAGGCAACUGACUUAUUUUCAUUUCAACAACAAGCGUUUGGAACAUUUAUAACCCAUGGUCCGACAGGAGUGCCAUUUCAUCUACAGAUUGUACACGUGUUAUAUGUAUGCCGAUAUAUUGCCAACUAGCGGUCUUCAACAAGGAAAGGUUUCACAGUUUUACAAUUCCAUCCAACUUUCUCAGUUUCACAAUCCUUGAACAAAAAAUAAUUAUUGUUGCAAGUUGAGAAGCUAUCUGUGGAAUGAGAGAGAAGGAUUCACUCCCUUCUUGGAAACCUUUCUUAUUUGGAGGCAUCGCUUCCCUAACUGGAGAGUUUGGUAUGUAUUUCUUUUAACUUUAUAUUGUGUUAUCUAAGGAGCUUGCUUUGGUUGUUACAUUGUCAGAAAUGUUGGGAAGUGAUCUUGUUUCACUUUUGAAAUUCUACUGUGCCAAGACAAAUUGCCUUCUAAAAACAUUUUUCAUCAGACGAAAUGUAUGUUGUUGAAUUGUACAAAAAUGUUGUAUUGAAUUGUACGAUACUCUUCAAAAA